rnacentral:rRNA from 1 species
UACGAAGGGGCUAGCGUUGUUCGGAUUUACUGGGCGUAAAGCGCACGUAGGCGGAUCGUUAAGUCGGGGUGAAAUCCUGGAGCUCAACUCCAGAACUGCCUUCGAUACUGGCGAUCUUGAGUCCGGAAGAGGUGAGUGGAACUCCUAGUGUAGAGGUGGAAUUCGUAGAUAUUAGGAAGAACACCAGUGGCGAAGGCGGCUCAACUGGUCCGGUACUGACGCUGACGGUGCGAAAGCGUGGGAGCAACAGG